rnacentral:rRNA from 1 species
GUCUUUUUGAAUUUAAUUUAAAGUCUAAUCUGCCCACUGAUAAUAAAUUAAAGGGCUGCAGUAUAUUGACUGUACAAAGGUAGCAUAAUAAUUAGUCUUUUAAUUGAAGACUUGUAUGAAAGAUUUGAUGAAAUAUAAACUGUCUCUUUUUUAUAAUUUGAAUUUAAUUUUUCAGUAAAAAAGCUGAAAUUAAUUUAAAAGACGAGAAGACCCUAUAGAGUUUUAUAAUUAUUUUAAUUAUAGAAAUAUUUAUAUUUAAUUUUAAAAUUAAUUAAUUUUAUUAUUUUAUUGGGGUGAUAGAAAAAUUAAAAUAACUUUUUUUAAAUAUUAAACAUUAAUUGAUGAUUUUAUGAUCCAUAAUUUAUGAUUAUAAGAAAAAAUUACCUUAGGGAUAACAGCGUAAUUUUUUUUUUUAGUUCUUAUAAGAAAAAAAGUUUGCGACCUCGAUGUUGGAUUAAGAUAAAAUUUAAAUGUAGAAGUUUAAAAUUUUGAUCUGUUCGAUCAUUAAAAUCUUACA